CCUACGGGAGGCAGCAGUAGGGAAUAUUGCUCAAUGGGGGAAACCCUGAAGCAGCAACGCCGCGUGGAGGAUGAAGGUUUUCGGAUUGUAAACUCCUUUUGUUAGAGAAGAUAAUGACGGUAUCUAACGAAUAAGCACUGGCUAACCCCGUGCCAGCAGCCGCGGUAAUACGGAGGGUGCAAGCGUUACUCGGAAUCACUGGGCGUAAAGGGCGCGUAGGCGGGAUAGCAAGUCAGAUGUGAAAUCCUAUGGCGUAACCAUAGAACUGCAUUUGAAACUGUUAUUCGAGAGUAUGGGAGAGGUAGGUGGAAUUCGUGGUGUAGGGGUGAAAUCCGUAGAGAUCAAGAGGAAUACUGAUUGCGAAGGCGGCCUGCUAGAACAUAACUGACGCUGAUGCGCGAAAGCGUGGGGAGCAAACAGGAUUAGAUACCCCUGUAGUC
rnacentral:rRNA from 1 species